rnacentral:rRNA from 1 species
GCUUAAUACAUGCAAGUCGAACGGUUCCCCUUUUGGGGGAAUAGUGGCGGACGGGUGAGUAACACGUAGACAACCUACCCUUAUGUGGGGAAUAACGUCUCGAAAGAGAAGCUAAUACCGCAUAAACUCUUGUCUGUUAGGGGAAGAGGAAACGCUCCCUUAGGGGAGUGGCACAAGGAGGGGUCUGCGGCGGAUUAGCUAGUUGGAGGGGUAACGGCCCACCAAGGCGACGAUCCGUAGCUGGUCUGAGAGGACGGCCAGCCACACUGGGACUGAGACACGGCCCAGACUCCUACGGGAGGCAGCAGUGAGGAAUAUUCCACAAUGGGCGCAAGCCUGAUGGAGCGACGCCGCGUGAGGGAAGAAGCCCUUUGGGGUGUAAACCUCUUUUUUCGGGGAUGACACGGCUGGGUAACCAGCCUGAGACAGUACCCGAAGAAUAAGCCUCGGCUAACUACGUGCCAGCAGCCGCGGUAAUACGUAGGAGGCAAGCGUUGUCCGGAUUUAUUGGGCGUAAAGGGCGCGCAGGCGGCACUCCAAGUACCGUGUAAAAACCCACUGCUUAACGGGGGGAAGCAAGGUAGACUGGGGAGCUAGAGAACGGUAGAGGGUGGUGGAAUUGCUGGUGUAGCGGUGAAAUGCGUAGAGAUCAGCAGGAACACCCGUGGCGAAGGCGACCAUCUGGGCCGUAUCUGACGCUGAAGCGCGAAGGCUAGGGGAGCGAACGGGAUUAGAUACCCCGGUAGUCCUAGCAGUAAACGAUGACCACUAGGUGUGGGGGGUAGUUGACCCCUUCCGUGCCGAAGCUAACGCAUUAAGUGGUCCGCCUGGGGAGUACGGUCGCAAGACUAAAACUCAAAGGAAUUGACGGGGACCCGCACAAGCAGCGGAGCGUGUGGUUUAAUUCGAUGCGACGCGAAGAACCUUACCAGGGCUUGACAUGGCCUCGCAACUCCCGGAAACGGGAGCCUCCUUCGGGACGGGGUCACAGAUGCUGCAUGGCUGUCGUCAGCUCGUGUCGUGAGAUGUUGGGUUAAGUCCCGCAACGAGCGCAACCCUUAUCCCUAGUUGCAAAUCUAAGGAGACUGCCGCACACAAAGCGGGAGGAAGGGUGGGGGAUGACGUCAAGUCAGCAUGGCUCUUACGUCCUGGGGCUACACACAGGCUACAAUGGGUCUGUACAGUGAGAAGCCACCCUGUGAAGGGGAGCGGACCUCCAAAGCAGACCUCAGUUCAGAUUGCACUCUGAAACCCGAGUGCAUGAAGGUGGAGUUGCUAGUAACCGCGUGUCAGCAUAGCGCGG